UACGGGAGGCAGCAGUGGGGAAUUUUGGACAAUGGGCGCAAGCCUGAUCCAGCAAUGCCGCGUGAGUGAAGAAGGCCUUCGGGUUGUAAAGCUCUUUUGUCAGGGAAGAAACGGCCUGUUCUAAUACAGUGGGCUAAUGACGGUACCUGAAGAAUAAGCACCGGCUAACUACGUGCCAGCAGCCGCGGUAAUACGUAGGGUGCAAGCGUUAAUCGGAAUUACUGGGCGUAAAGCGUGCGCAGGCGGUUUUGUAAGUCUGUCGUGAAAUCCCCGGGCUCAACCUGGGAAUGGCGAUGGAGACUGCAAGGCUAGAGUUUGGCAGAGGGGGGUAGAAUUCCACGUGUAGCAGUGAAAUGCGUAGAUAUGUGGAGGAACACCGAUGGCGAAGGCAGCCCCCUGGGUCAAAACUGACGCUCAUGCACGAAAGCGUGGGGAGCAAACAGGAUUAGAUACCCUGGUAGUCCACGCCCUAAACGAUGUCUACUAGUUGUCGGGUCUUAAUUGACUUGGUAACGCAGCUAACGCGUGAAGUAGACCGCCUGGGGAGUACGGUCGCAAGAUUAAAACUCAAAGGAAUUGACGGGGACCCGCACAAGCGGUGGAUGAUGUGGAUUAAUUCGAUGCAACGCGAAAAACCUUACCUACCCUUGACAUGGCUGGAAUCCCUGAGAGAUUGGGGAGUGCUCGAAAGAGAACCAGUACACAGGUGCUGCA
rnacentral:rRNA from 1 species